rnacentral:rRNA from 1 species
AUUGAACGCUGGCGGCAGGCCUAACACAUGCAAGUCGAACGAGUGGCGGACGGGUGAGUAAUGUCUGGGAAACUGCCUGAUGGAGGGGGAUAACUACUGGAAACGGUAGCUAAUACCGCAUACCAUCGGAUGUUCCCAGAUGGGAUUAGCUAGUAGGUGGGGUAAAGGCUCACCUAGGCGACGAUCCCUAGCUGGUCUGAGAGGAUGACCAGCCACACUGGGACUGAGACACGGCCCAGACUCGUACGGGAGGCAGCAGUGGGGAAUAUUGCACAAUGGGGGAAACCCUGAUGCAGCCAUCCCGCGUGUGCUAUGAAGGCCGUCGGGUUGUAAAGCACUUUUGGCAGGGAAGCGGGACCUGCAGAAUAAGCACCGGCUAACUACGUGCCAGCAGCCGCGGUAAUAC